rnacentral:lncRNA from 1 species
CUGCAAUAGAUCCAUCAGUUUUAAAUGUCCAAACAACACUUCAAUAGCUUUACAAACCAAACCUACUGACUUUAAGAAAACUAUCCAAACUUACAAACCGAAUUCAAUCUAGAAACGUAAAUGAACAGGUAAUACAUGAAAAGGAACUAAGUUACUAUAGAAUUGAGUGAGUUCAAGAAUACAAAAAUGGCAUUGAUGAACAUAUAUGCCAUAAACUUCCAACUUAACCAAUAGCUGUAAAUCUUUUCAUUUCAACAUGUCAAGUGAGAUUUAGUAAGUAUUUGAAUACAGCAUAAUAAACCAGAAUAAUAGCUUGAGAUUAGGAGGAAAUAGCGACAGUCUGUCAGCAGCACCAAAACAGCCAAACAAACAGCAAUACUCAAUCUUUUAAAACCAUUUUAAGCCCAGAAUAAACCAGAGAUACUUGAAAGUUUCAAGUUUUUAAGAAUGACAAUAAGCCUUAAACCAAUUUGAACCAAGAAGGUAGAAAAUUCAGUAUUCUUUUUAAGGUGUUCUUUCAGCCGUUUUUG